CCCUUAGAUGUUCUGGGCCGCACGCGUGCUACACUGAGUGGAUCAGCGGGUCAGGUUGCGCGAAAGUGUUUCCUAAUCUUUAAAUCCGCUCGUGAUGGGGAUUGACGGUUGCAAUUUUCCGUCAUGAACGAGGAAUACCUUGUAAGCGCGGGUCAUCAUCCCGCGCUGAAUACGUCCCUGCCCUUUGAACACACCGCCCGUCGCUCCUACCGAUUGAGUGGUCCGGUGAGGCUUUGGGAUCUGAGCGGAAAGAGCGUUUCGCUGUUUCUGCCCGGAAAACUCAGUCGAACCUUAUCAUUUAGAGGAAGGAGAAGUCGUAACA
rnacentral:rRNA from 1 species